UGGGGAAUUUUGGACAAUGGGCGAAAGCCUGAUCCAGCCAUGCCGCGUGAGUGAAGAAGGCCUUCGGGUUGUAAAGCUCUUUUAGUCGGAAAGAAAGAGUUGCAAUGAAUAAUUGUGAUUUAUGACGGUACCGACAGAAAAAGCACCGGCUAACUACGUGCCAGCAGCCGCGGUAAUACGUAGGGUGCGAGCGUUAAUCGGCAUUACUGGGCGUAAAGGGUGCGCAGGCGGUCUUGCAAGUCAGAUGUGAAAGCCCCGGGCUUAACCUGGGAAUUGCGUUUGAAACUACAAGGCUAGAGUGCAGCAGAGGGGAGUGGAAUUCCAUGUGUAGCAGUGAAAUGCGUAGAGAUGUGGAAGAACACCGAUGGCGAAGGCAGCUCCCUGGGUUGACACUGACGCUCAUGCACGAAAGCGUGGGGAGCAAACA
rnacentral:rRNA from 1 species